ACUCCAGUGGCCUAGUAGUUAGAGCGUCCGCCUUGGAUACGAGAAGUCGCCGGUUCAAAUUCCGGCCGAGUC